AAAAAAGAAAAAAAGAAAAAAAACCAGAACAAUAGCGAAGAGGCCAGAAACAAACCAUACCAGGAUAACUGGACGGGGUCCUUAGACCUUGUCAGGUGCCAAGCCACCAAUAAUUGCUAUUGGCCAAUGUUGCAUUAUAAAAACGAAUGGCUACUUUUGGCCAAGCCAAUGGCAGCACACAGCCAAUCCCAAGUCCUUAGCUUGUGAGUGUGACAAAGGAUAGUACAUUGCCAGUUGGCUUGCAGCUGGCAA
rnacentral:misc_RNA from 1 species